GUACACAUGCUUUUCAAGAAAGUUCCACAGUCAUUAAUUGACAACAAUAAAUAAAAAAUGUAGAAAGAAAACAGGGAGUUGAAUAGUUCCUAUUUGAAAUGCUGGUCAGUAGUGGUCUGCUACCUUAAAAUUUAAUGCCUACUCUCAGUUUCGAUAUGAAAAAUUGUCGGAUACAUGAAAACCAUCACAUUUCUUGUAGAAUACAUUCCAGCAGUUGGGUACGUAGCUUCCCACAAAUCGGUGUGUAGGUACAUAUUUCCUAGGGAGAGUUCAGUGUAAUAUCUUCUCGGAUGUUACAGAAAGAAUGCAUAGUAUUAUGUUUCCAAAUUUAUUCAUGAUAUAAAUAUUUCUUUUUCAGAGGACCAGACAUUGUGAGAAAGUUUGAUUGCAUUCAAGAGCUGCCAGAGCUAAAGCUAGAAACGAAACUAAACAACUUCUUCUCAUGAUCCGCUUAAUUGAUCUUCACAUUGAAUUGUCAACCUGUAUGCUACAUUGUAUAAUGACGUUGAGCAAAUAAAGAUACUGCAGUCAGCGUUACAACCUUCAUUAAACAGAAUGAAUUGGUGUUACAGAAAUGGAUAACUUAUGUAGACAAACACUUUCAGACUACUGAAACUACACAUUGUUUGAGACUAUGAGAAUGGCUUAUUUUCAUGAUGGAACUCAUACCACAAAGAAAGAACUUGCUUUAUCUUAUUUCUUAUAACUAGUCCUCAAAGACAUACCCAAGUAAACUACAUCAGGAAAGAAAGCAAACAAAGUUGAUUCAGGAUUUAGAAUUGAAUGUUUUUGUGUCAACAGUGUGUGAAAACUGCGGAAAAUAGGAUUUUAAUUUCAAGGAUUUGAUUUAGUAUGUCAAGGAGUGAUUUGUUUUUAAUUCAUCACACAAGUUAUUGACAAUGCUCUAAAAUAUAAAUAGGAUGUGUAAAUACAGACUUUCAUACCUAACUAAAAUAAUGUUGAACUCAACAGAAUAAACAAACUACCAUCUGUUGUAUGA